rnacentral:tRNA from 1 species
GGAAUGAAGCUCAGUGGCAGAGUACAUGACUAGUGUGUGAGGUCCUGGGUUCCAUUCCCAGCAUUACA